ensembl:lncRNA
UGAAGAGGCAGAUUUAAUGCUUAAUUAAAGAGAAGUGUCUCUCACCUUCCCCUAUGGAUACCAGACAGCUGUAUGGCAAUUUAUAUUCAGAUACACAUUUGAGACUCACCUUUAAUAUAGUGCCCUUGGAGGGUACUGCAUUACUGCAUUUGAGGUCAGCAGGAGGAGAGGAUGCUGGUCUAAUUAGCAGCAGAGGAAUCUUCUGUCGGCCCAACACCUGUCACAACAGGCUCAACACUGCCCUCUGCUUUCCGGGAGAGGAAGACAAUCAAGGUGUCUACACCAAGUGAAUGUGAAGCAUUCCUUGAUGCCAUUUUAAUUGACGGAUUCCACCAAGAAUCCUGUUUAUGGUCAACAACUGAUUGCUGAUCCAAACCACUCUGUAGCUGUCCGCUGGAAUAAAAACCCGGAAAAAGCUACGGAACUGAAAUCCCAGACAUCAUGACCAUGUUUCCUCCCGGAUGUCCACGAUGACAGUCGUCGGCCCCUUCAACGGAUCUUACGGACAAACUCGGCAAACCACACGAGCAGGCCACACAGUCAUUCUGCAUUCAAAACUUACACGGUUCCUCUGUUUCAUUGUGCUGAACUUUAUUCUGUGGUAGAUGGUGGCAGCUUUAACAAUACAGCAACAAAAACACUGACUUAAUAUACACUCAGACUCGAACGUCUAUGCUCAAAAAUUCUGCUCUACACUUUAAUUGCUGGGUCCAAAUAUAUUUCUAACCUGGUUUCUAACCAAACUUGUAGAAAAGUUACAGAGCAACGAUCAACUGAAUCUUCAGACACAUUUGUGAUUUUAAUCAAUGAAAUACAUCCAGCACUACCUCAUAUUGGAGGCCUGUGCUGGUCUAAAAUACAUUUGGAAAAGUUAAAAACUUCCAUCACUCUGUGGCUCUAAACCCACGCAAGGCUCUGCAAUGGCAUUUGCCAGUCAGCCAGGUACAAUUUCCCACGCUAUUACCCCUCUUCAUCAACAGGAAGAGUGGCCGUUGGCUUUGCCUGAACAGCCUUCCUGAAUCCUCGCUCUCCUGCGGCAGCGUGUGUCGUUUUAUGUCUAGCUUAAGCCUGAGCAGUUAUGCCGCCGUAAAUUUAGCCAUUUCAGACAUUCAGUCACUUCUCUCAGCUAAUAUAGAGCAGCAGUCACCCGCCAGUGCUUUUACAGCCUCUGUGCCGUGUGUGUGGGUGCUGAUCAUGUAUUGUAAUAGCAGAAUAAAGAUGUAAAAAGCAGAGGGAAUGGAUGGUAGAUGGAGAACAUGAAUGUGCUGGGACCAGGGCAAUGCUUGGAAUGAGUCCAAUGUAACUUUCUCACAAACGGAGGCCAGACACCAUCACCAGGCGUGUGAAAAAUAAUGAAACCGUAACGAAGCACAGCUUUGCUCUGCAUGCCUGUGAUCAAAGCAGC